rnacentral:sRNA from 2 species
GAACAUGUUUUCUAGGGUUCCGUGGUGUAAUGCCAGUCUGGUCCGAGAGAAAACACACCUGUAUAAAUUGCGGAAAAGUGUGGACUUUUGCAAUGGGUUUUCCGCUAUUUGGUGUCCACGGAAGGAUAAAAGCCUGGGAGAA